UACAGAGGGUGCGAGCGUUAAUCGGAAUUAUUGGGCGUAAAGAGCUCGUAGGCGGUUUGUCGCGUCUGCCGUGAAAGUCCGGGGCUCAACUCCGGGUCUGCGGUGGGUACGGGCAGACUAGAGUGAUGUAGGGGAGACUGGAAUUCCUGGUGUAGCGGUGAAAUGCGCAGAUAUCAGGAGGAACACCGAUGGCGAAGGCAGGUCUCUGGGCAUUAACUGACGCUGAGGAGCGAAAGCAUGGGGAGCGAACAGG
rnacentral:rRNA from 1 species